AUGCGGACCAGCCUGUACGCCGACGACGUUGUAAUCUUCAUCAACCCGGUGCAACACGAGAUUGACGAGCUCCUCCACAUCUUGCACUGCUUCAGCGAGGCCACUGGCCUCAAGGUGAACCAGGCAAAAUCAUCGGUCAUUCCGAUCGCCUGCGACGGAAUUGAUCUCGUAGCUGUGCUGCCAAACUUUGGAGGGACCACGGCGGCUCUACCCAUUAGAUAUCUAGGUCUCCCAAUCACCACCAGCAAGCUUAGACUAGUACAUCCGCAGUUCAUCUUAGAUAGGAUUCGAGCAUGGCUUGCAGGCUGGAAGGGCAGGCUGAUGCCAAUCGCAGGAAGGCGAGUGCUUGUGAGGUGCAUGCUCUCGGCCAUGCCCACGUCCGCCCUCACUGUCUUGCGGGCUCUGAAGAAGUUUUUCAAGGACGUCGAUAAGGUCCGGCGACGUUUCCUCUAG
rnacentral:rRNA from 1 species